ACUUACUGGGAUGGAAGGACGAACUGCUGAAGCUAGUCGAGAAAGAGCACAAAACGAUUGACGAAGCUACUGCUGAAGCGGAGGAAUCUCAAAAUACCGGUGAAAAAACAGAAGUUGACAAGUCCACUGACAAAGACAGCGACGCAAAAAAGCCAGAAAAGGACUCGGCCAACCUUUAGAAAAGUUUCAAAAUUCCAAGGCUGCGAGUUAUGGUGCAUGAAUAUUAAGGGAGGGCAGUGUAGUUGUUCCGAGUACAAAUGAUGUUUCAUGAUACUUAGCGGAAAACUUAGAUUUAUGCGUUGAAUAAUAGUAUUGCUUUAAAUCAACGAGUAUAGUAACCUGCGAUCAGGCUUUAAAAAAAGAACGCGGCUUCCCAAUAUGGUAGUCAAGUUAAAAAAAAAAUGCUGGAGCCAAACUAUGACAGGCCGCUGCCUAUAAUCAGCGGACAGCACUGCAUAACGGCCAGGAGUUUUCGUCUGGUCCGUGCACCAUUCCGUUGUUUGCCAUUUGCAAAUAAUUUCCAGAAGUUUGGGUUGGGAAAUUCCGUUGCGGAGCAAUGUGUUAGAUUUAAAGUUUCCCUGAAGAUGUGGUUAAGGCGUGAAGCCGCGAAAACCGAAACACCUGGAACUAUCUUAUUACAUGAAAUUUUCGCGACACGUUAAUUUCGCGAUGUAAAAAAGGCGCGAAAUUAAAGUGACGCGAACAAACAGUGUCGCUAACAUAACAUGACGCGAAAGUUAAGCGACUCACAUAAUCAAGUACAGAUGAAAUUUAAUACUGAAUUAAAUUUACAACAACAACUAAAAACUAUUUGAUUAAGGAAAGGCUAUGUCCAAGACACUCGAUAUGCGAGGACAAAUAAUUUGCCGUGUAGUGUAAGCGCUAUUUUACAAUUUUUGUGGUAAUAAUCACUGUUUUGGUGAUAGGCAAACUAUUUUUAUCGCACUAACAAUUUUUUGUUUACACUAUAUGUUUGUGGCGUAUCUGCAGAGUCGCCAAUUAGAUCAAUACAAUAUGCGUCAGUGUACUGACCACUAAAUUUUAUUGACUGACAAUUUGUUUUAUUAAAAUUAUAAUGUUGAAGAAAUUGAA